UAGCCGCAAUUUGUGCUAAGGUAGCAUAAUAAUUUGUCUUUCAAAUGAAGACUAGAAUGAAUGAUUUAACAUUUUAAUCUAUUUAUUUUUUAGAAUAAUUUAAAUUUUAUAUAAUGUAAAAAAUCAUUAAUAAAAUAAGUAAGACGACAAGACCCUAUUGAACUUAACUUAAGUUAAACUGGGGCAGUUAAUUAAUUAUAAUUUUAAUUUUCAAUUUUUACUUCUUAUAUCCUAUACAAUAGAUAUAUCAAGUUACCAUAGGGAUAACAGCGCAAUUAUAUUUCAAAGUUCUUAUCAAAAAUAUAGAUUACGACCUCGAUGUUGAAUUAAUAACCUAAUUAAAGUAAAUUUUAAAUAAAGGAAGUCUGUUCGACUAUUAAAUAAUUACAUGAUUUGAGUUCAGACCGGUGUAAACCAGGUCGGCUUCUAUCUACUAAAAAUCUUUUUUACAGUACGAAAGGACCUAAGAAAGUAAUUUUAUUAAUUUAUUUGGCAGAGAAAUGCAUUAGAAUUAGAAUCUAAUAAAACUAAA
rnacentral:rRNA from 1 species